AAAGAACUCCUGGCUUUACAGGAAAGAUGCUGAACAUCCAUUAGAAAAUUAGCCACAGAGAAAAUGUUUGCUGAUCACUGGACUUCCUGUUAAAUAAUAAUCUUGAAGACACACAUGGAGCUGAGUGUACUGAGAAGCAUCUAGACCAAGCAUCCCUUUAUCCAGGGAAGGAGGACUCGGGUCCAGACUCUGAGAAAUAUCAACUCAAAGAAAUAUCAACCUUCAGAGGUGUCCAUGCAGACUCUGAGAGUCCAUCCAGGGGCCUGUGAAGGGGGUGCCUGGAGAUGCAGGAGUCCGUUCCUCAAUCUCAGCCAAGCCUCUUCCCUAGUCAGCCGAUCUCUGAAUAUCAUUCAUUUGUGUCUGUUUAGAGUGAGGGGGAGCACAGUCGCUGGAGAUGGAAGUGUCAUUUGCAAAAUAAUAAUAGCAUCCCAGCUGAUGAGAGGCAAACACCCCUGGGCCCUCUUGAAUGCAGACUCUGUUUUCCUAAUUGGAUCUCAUCAAAGCUUUCUCGUUGCCUUCAGCUGGUGGAGGCCCAUCGUGAUGUGGAGGGAGGGGACAGCCGCCAGUAGGUGAGCAGCUGGUGGCCGUGCCUGGGUGGUGACCAUGUGAGCCCCGUUUACCCCAAGUAGAGCCCACGCAGAGCAGCGAGUCUCAGGCUGAGACCCGGCCCCAGCUACCCAACCUCUGUCAGGACCCUGUCCACACUCUCUAAGC